CAACCCUACGGGGGCAGCAGUGAGGAAUAUUGGUCAAUGGUCGGGAGACUGAACCAGCCAAGCCGCGUGAGGGAUGAAGGUACAGAGUAUCGUAAACCUCUUUUGUCAGGGAACAAAGGCGGGGACGUGUCCCCGGAUGAGUGUACCUGAAGAAAAAGCAUCGGCUAACUCCGUGCCAGCAGCCGCGGUAAUACGGAGGAUGCGAGCGUUAUCCAGAUUUAUUGGGUUUAAAGGGUGUGCAGGCGGUCUGUUAAGUCAGCGGUCAAAGCCCGGGGCUCAACCCCGGCCCGCCGUUGAAACUGGCG
rnacentral:rRNA from 1 species